UUUGCCUGCGGCCUGGCUCCCGCCUCAGGGAUGCAACACGCCUAGUAACGCCACGUCAAUUGGCCGCUGCGGUACGCUUCCUCGACGGAUUGGAACUCGCGACCAAUCAACGAAAAGGACGGAGCCAGAUCGACUGGAGAAAGAAGAGCCUUUAAUCCCUGGGAGGCGGACUCUCCUACUUGGCUCCAGUUCAUUGGCUCCUGAUUUUAUCCUGCUGAAGAACCUGGCACAAUGGAUUGAACCCUUGCAUUAGUCUAGUCCUGUUGCAGUGAUAAUCUACACAGGAGGAAGAAUCCCAUCUUCUUCCUAAAUCUAAGGAUCCACCCUAACCCCCCGCCUUACUCCUUCAAAAUGCUGGUUCCAGCCACCCCUACUCUGAACCGUCUGAAUAGCACCUCAGCUCUUAAUCCACUCCACUGUAUUGUCUUGGCACCCUCUGGUAACCCUAGUCCUAUAGGCUUUACAGUUCCUCAGCCGCAGAACACACAGUAGAUUCAAUAGAACCCAAAGCAGCAAGAAAAUUGCAUUAUGAGACUUGAAGUUCUUGGGUUCCAAAUGCAGGCUAGACCUGACUAAAUGUGAUAAGCAGCUUUGGGGAAAAAAGGAGGGGUGUGUGCACCUGGCUGGAUCAAUUGGUAGAACACGGGACUCUUGAUCUCCAAGUGGUGUGGCUUGGAAGAGCAGCUCAAGGCACCUGAAGUGGGACAAAGAACAGGGAUGAAGAGGAGUCGACCUCAAUAACUCUGGGAUGAGUAGCUGGGGCAUCUUGGGAAGCAGAGACGACAUGCGGCUGAGCAGCUCCUCACAUACGGUCAAGGCAUCCUGUGCUCGGCCUGCCUGGAUCAGUGCUGCUGCUGCCUCCAAGAACACCUCAGGCAUGCAGGGCCCUGGACGGGAUGGGGGUGGGGAGAACUGGGGUGGAAGGAGGAUGCAGUGUCUUGAAGAGACAUUGGCCACCAUCCCCAACCUCUUCACCAGGCUCUGGUACCACAUGGAGACCACCCAUUGCUUGCUACCCUGGACCACUUAUUCUGAGAACCUUCCUAGUUUGGCCUUGCAGCUUGGACAGACAGAACAGCAGAAGAAAAAAGAGAAAACAGUAGUCCUGCUCUAUUCCAAAGUUAGACUCCAACCCUCCCACCCUAUUGUAGAGAACCUUGAAGACAUACCCACCUUUGGCUCAGAGUCAUCCAGCAACAGAGCCAGCAGGUCCAAGUAAUGCUCUGCAGCGUCCUCUGCCCUAAGAAGUCAUAGCCCAUGAACUUCAUAUUAGGCCAUUAGCAGGGCCCUCCAAAGGCUCAUAGCUAACAAAGGGAUGCUCAAGGGCCCUGGGGAGUAGGAAAAGUGGGGUCUUGGAACUCCAAUCCUAGCUCACUAUGGAUCUACCCUCCUUACAGAAUGGAUCUGGGAGAUUUCAGAGUUUUCAAGAUAUAGGAGUUAGUGUCUGGGUGAAGAGUCCUAAGUUCAGGUCCAUCAGCAAGGCAGGAGACUGAAGAGUGGGAACCUAUGUCCUACCACUGACUUGUCCAUACUGUCCAUACGAAAGAACAGAAGCAGAGUCACAUCCCAGGGAAGGUAUCAGAAAUGGGAAGAACUCAGAUGAUCAAGGCAGUGGAACCUCACCUUCCUAUCUGUAGGCAUCGGCUUGCUAGCAGGUACUUGGCCUGGCUCUGUGUGCCACAGUGAAGGGGUGAGGCUGGGUUAGGUUGGGGAAGUAGUAACUCUACUUCAAUAAGAAGCUGGGGGGCUUCAGGACUGUGAGUGACACUCAAGGCCUAAAAGGAACACAAAGAAAAAGUAUAUCUAUAAUCUUUGGGAGCCAUAUUUCCUUCUAUUUACAACUUGAUUAUUCUCCCUAAUACAAGCCCCUCAGCCAUCCCCAUAUCUUCAGUUCCUUACGUCAACCAACAGCUCCAGACUCUCCAGCUCUGCUGCUGUGUUCCCCAGUUGCUGAUAUAGCCUGGAAGCCUCCAGAAGUGGAGGACCCCAGGGUGAUCCCCCUUUCAGGGCCGCAACCAAGUACAGCAGAGCUCUUUGUGGAUUGCCCUAGAGGGGUGAGAGAACACAAGCCUUAGCUACCUCACAAAGCAGAAAGCUAUUCAUAACACCCAUGGUUUCCCAACCCACCCUAAGACUGUCUGUACCAUUUUACGAAGACAGGUCCCCAGGACUGUGUACACCUGGACCAACACAGGCCGUGGACACAGACCUGAGGCUGCUUCUUGCAGGCUGCUCAAUGCCUUGGGCAGGCUUCCUGUGAUCAAUUCCUGGAGGCCUGAGGGCAAUCAGGGUGUAAACUUAAAGAAGCCUACAGGGCAAGGGGCAUGACAGGGAACAAGAGCACAGAGCUAAAUGGGACAUGACAAGGAAGGUAUGAGCCAAAGGACUCCUCAAGACAGGGAGUGGGGAGGAAGGGAUGAGUCAGAUUGCUAGCUGACCUUGGCGAUAGGCAGAAGCUGUAAGAAGGACAUCCCUUAAGCCCCGGGCAUCCUGCAAGGUCAAUGGAGCAUCUGACUCCUCAGCUGGGGGGCUCCAAGUUUUCAGAAGGUGCAGCAGAUCCUCAGAGGCCUCACUCUGAGGAAAGAAGGAUGAUCAGAAGCUCCAAGCCUAUAACCACCUCUUCUCCUAUCUCAGUCUGUCCUGGCUGGACCUUGAAAUCAAGGGUCCUCCUGAUUCCUAUUCCCUCAACUCUAAGAGAGAGACAGCAAGGAUAAAGGGAGGAAGAAAAACUUGGGGCACAGAUGAUCUGGUCUAGUGCACCUUCUCAUUCAGUAUAAGCCCAUGAGGACACUUCAGCAAGAUCAUAAAAGCCCUAACCCUAUCCAAGAUCAUUAAGCUAUUUUAAAAACCACUCAAGAGAAUCCCCCCAAUGAGAGACCAAGCAAAACAAGGUCACCAAGAGUCCUGGAGAGAACCUAGGUCUUCUGACCACCAACCCAGCAGAACUUCCCAGCACAAAAUGAUGCUACUGCAGCUGAGAGGGGUGAAAGAAGGGAAGAGGCCCUUAGAUACAGGUUACUUCCCACAUUACCUGGUUACCAUUCAAGGUCUGCAGCAGCAAGGUCAGGUCCCCAAGACAGUCAGUACUUAGCCACAGGGCAGCCUGCAGGCCAGCCAGGUGGUGAAGGGCAGGGAGUAGCUCCAGCAGAACAGAGGAAUAAUGGAGAACAGAGUCCCACAGCCCCCUGAGCCCACAUUCCAGUCUGGGCCCAAGCUGCUCCUGGGUCUCCAGCACUGUAGAAGACACACACAUACAGCUGAGGUUGGGACUUCAUCUCUGGUUUCCUUUCUCUGCAGGAGCCCAAAGGUCACAAAGGUGCUCCUGGGCUAAGGAGCACCUGGUGGAUAAGAAAAGGGCAUCUCUCUCCCUGGCGGUAACAGAUUUUAUUGCUCCUCUCAUCCCCUUUGCAAGGACUUAAACCCAAACAGGCUGGCAGGGAUAUGGAAAGCAAUCUCUAGCCCUCACCUCUCUCCAGGCUCUGUUGGAUAUCCUGUGCUUGGUCUUCAGUGAAACCCUGGGCCAGGCUUGCCUUCAUGGUAAUGAAAUUGCAGGUAACAGUCAAUUCCAAGGGGAGAACAGGAACAGCUGCAGGGAGACCUGAAGCAAACACAUGCUGAUUUCACUGACUACUUUCCCAGGAAAGAUUUCCCAGAUAAGAUCCAAACCCAAAGAUCACAUCACCCCAACCAAAAUGGCCUCAAUAAAGAAUCACCCUUUGUACAGAGUUUGGAAAGGGCAGAAAGUUCUUCAGAUUGGACCAUCCUGGAGACCAUUUCUUCAAAUGCUGGGGAGUGAGGGGAAGUGAGGGAGGGGGCAUGGCAGGGCUCAGAGAUUCACCUGUACCAAAGAGAAUUCCAUUUCAGUCUUGUCUGUGCCUUAAACAGGAUUCCCUGCCCCCUGAGUAAUUUUCUCAAUCCCAGAAAUGCAGAACUGGUCUCUGGCUGUGGAGAAGGAUAACUGACCGUCCUGAGGAGGAUCCUGCUUACCCUGCAGGCUAUGCAGGAGUCCCCUGAAUCCUUCCAGCACAUCUUGGGCCAGCUGCUGUCCUCUCAGAAACUGACGCGAGUCCUGAGCCACCUACGAAAUGUGGAAUGGGGUAUCACUGAGGAUCGAUCCUUAUUUCUCCCGUUGCAACAAUAGCAAAGGAUGUCUUUCUCCAGUCAUUUCUGGCUCCUGGGGGAAGGUCAAACUCAAUACCUCCCGUCAGCUGGGGUCUAGGCAGCUGGCGUGUAGUCCUGAGGAGCCCAGAGGGGUCUGGUGCGACAAGGUUGCAGAGGCUGGGCCCAGACCCCUGGAGGGUGCUGCUGAAAGGUAAGCCCGGCCUCGCCGAGGUCCCCGCCCGAGCGGGGAGGGGUCCGUGCGCUUCUGCAUCCCCCCGUGACUCCCUUGCUCCCCUUAGGGCCCCAGGAGGGGCGGCUCACCCCCUACGCGAAAAAUGGAAACGGAAAAACUCUCUCCCGGACGCUGUGCCGGCUCCCACCCCCGCCUCUUCCACCUGGUCUCUGGUUGGCCAGGCCGUCAAAAUCUCGGCUGCGGUUGGUCGUCUUCAAGGGUUAGUCCCCGCGGGAAACUCGAAGAAGAAACGAGUCAGGGCCCAAACCAAGAGGGAGGCUAAGGCGGGUCAGAGGAUGGGAGUGUGUCUGAGUGGAGAGGUAGUAUUUCUUAAGGUUCAGCUUGCUAGUCUCUCAGGAAGGCCAAAACCCUGAGAAAUCGAUCUCGGUACCAAAACCCGUGGCUCAGCCCUUCCCUCGCAGCCAAACUCCUAGGUCGGUCUGGCUUGGCGCCGCCCCGCACAAGGGAGGCCCGAGCAGUGCAUGCUGGGAAGCGUAGUACGGCCGAAAGCAGCCACAAAAAUCCCAGCCAUGGCGCAGAGUUAUUUCCAAAAGCAACUGAAAGGAGACCAAGGCUUUUGGUCAACAACCCUUCCUUUCUUUGCUCACCACAGAGCACUAACACGCUACCACAUUCUGCUCAACCUCGUGCAGUCUGACUGCUGGCCAUGGAAGCCCUAGGCUUGAGCAGGACACACUGCUCAAAGGUACCUCUGAAUCUUUCAACAAAUGGACCCAGGAGACUUGGAUAUCCAUAUAUAAAAACAAAACUGUGACCCUUACCAGAGAUAAAAUCAACUCAAUAUGGAUAAGUUGAACUUUAUUAACAUUAAAAACUCUGAGGGCAAAACAAAAACAAACAGCUCUGGGGCGCCUGGGUGUCUCAGUGGUUAAACAUCAGACUCUUAGUUUCAGCUCAGGUCAUGAUCUCAGGUUGGUGAAGUGGAGCCCUGGGUAGGGCUCUGGGCUACUGGUGCAGAGCCUGCUUUGGAUUCUCUCUCUCUCUGCCCCUCCCAGCCCAGGCACCUCUUUCUCAAAAGAAAUAAAAACAAAAACAAAACUUGUGCUACAAAAAGGCACCAUCGAGAAAAUUCAAAGAAAAAUCAUAAAGUGGAGAAAUUAUUUGCAGAGCAUACACAUAACAGAUCUCUAUCCACAAUACAUAACUCUCAAAGCUCAAAAAUAAAAAUAA